AGUCGAGCGAGCUUGCCUAGAUGAUUUUAGUGCUUGCACUAAAUGAAACUAUAUACAAGCGAGCGGCGGACGGGUGAGUAACACGUGGGUAACCUGCCCAAGAGACUGGGAUAACACCUGGGAACAGAUGCUAAUACCGGAUAACAACACUAGACGCAUGUCUAGAGUUUGAAAGAUGGUUCUGCUAUCACUCUUGGAUGGACCUGCGGUGCAUUAGCUAGUUGGUAAGGUAACGGCUUACCAAGGCAAUGAUGCAUAGCCGAGUUGAGAGACUGAUCGGCCACAUUGGGACUGAGACACGGCCCAAACUCCUACGGGAGGCAGCAGUAGGGAAUCUUCCACAAUGGACGAAAGUCUGAUGGAGCAACGCCGCGUGAGUGAAGAAGGGUUUCGGCUCGUAAAGCUCUGUUGGUAGUGAAGAAAGAUAGAGGUAGUAACUGGCCUUUAUUUGACGGUAAUUACUUAGAAAGUCACGGCUAACUACGUGCCAGCAGCCGCGGUAAUACGUAGGUGGCAAGCGUUGUCCGGAUUUAUUGGGCGUAAAGCGAGUGCAGGCGGUUCAAUAAGUCUGAUGUGAAAGCCUUCGGCUCAACCGGAGAAUUGCAUCAGAAACUGUUGAACUUGAGUGCAGAAGAGGAGAGUGGAACUCCAUGUGUAGCGGUGGAAUGCGUAGAUAUAUGGAAGAACACUAGUGGCGAAGGCGGCUCUCUGGUCUGCAACUGACGCUGAGGCUCGAAAGCAUGGGUAGCGAACAGGAUUAGAUACCCUGGUAGUCCAUGCCGUAAACGAUGAGUGCUAAGUGUUGGGAGGUUUCCGCCUCUC
rnacentral:rRNA from 1 species